rnacentral:rRNA from 1 species
AUUUUUUAGUAGUUAUUAAAAAUGAUUUCUGCUCAAUGUUGAAUGAAUAGCCGCGGUAUUUUGACUGUGCAAAGGUAGCAUAAUAAUUAGUCUUAUAAUUUAAGACUGGAAUGAAGGGAUAAACUAGAAAAUUUAUUUCUUGAUUGUUAAUUUUUAAUUUUACUUUUUAGUAAAAAGGCUAAAAUGUUUCUUAUAGACAAAAAGACCCUAUAAAACUUUACAUAAAAGAGUUUAGUAGACUGUAGACAUGUUUUACUGGGGCGGUAAGGGGAUUAAACACUCUUAAACUUUAAAGAUAUUAUUAUUUGUAUACCCAAAACUUUUGAAGAUUGAAUAAGUUACUUUAGGGAUAACAGCGUUAUAUACCUUUAAAGCUCUAAUUGACAGGUAUGUUUGCGACCUCGAUGUUGGAUUAAAUUUUCUUCGUUGCGCAAGAGCAAUGGAAGAAGGUCUGUUCGACCUGUAAUAAUUUCCA